CUGAAAGUAUAUACUUAGAGAAAAGAAAAAGAGCAUUCUAGUGUAGUGAGAGAAAUAGCUAUGGCGCCAGUUAUGCAAAGCUCUCAGCCAUGGGUCGAGAAAUAUCGACCGAAGCAAGUGAAGGACGUAGCUCACCAGGAUGAGGUCGUUCGAGUCCUCACAAACACUCUCGAGACCUCUAACUGCCCGCAUAUGUUGUUUUAUGGUCCUCCUGGAACUGGAAAGACGACCACUGCUCUUGCCAUUGCCCAUCAGCUUUUUGGACCUGAGCUGUAUAAGUCAAGGGUAUUGGAGCUAAAUGCUAGUGAUGACCGUGGUAUCAAUGUAGUUCGCACAAAAAUUAAGAACUUUGCUGCUGUUGCUGUAGGUUCUAAUCGGCAAAGUGGUUAUCCUUGCCCACCUUUUAAGAUCAUAAUCCUUGAUGAAGCAGAUUCAAUGACUCAAGAUGCUCAAAAUGCCUUGCGACGCACUAUGGAGACAUAUUCAAAAGUUACAAGAUUCUUCUUCAUUUGUAAUUACAUUAGCAGGAUCAUAGAGCCACUCGCUUCCAGAUGUGCGAAGUUUAGAUUCAAGCCACUUACUGAAGAAAUAAUGGGCAGCCGAAUAUUGCAUAUUUGUAAAGAGGAAGGUCUUAAUCUUGAUUCAGAGGCUCUUUCUGCCCUCAGUUCCAUUUCUCAAGGUGAUUUGCGAAGGGCUAUUACAUACUUACAAAGUGCUGCUCGGUUAUUUGGAUCUUCCAUAUCAGCAAAGGACCUAAUUAGUGUGUCUGGGGUCAUCCCAAAUGAAGUUGUUCAGGCUAUAUUCUCAGCUUGCAGAAGUGGCAAUUUUGACUUGGCAAACAAAGAAGUGAACAAUGUCGUUGCAGACGGAUAUCCUGUUUCUCAGAUGCUGUAUCAGUUGUAUGAUAUAGUAGUUGAUGCAGACGACAUUUCUGAUGAACAGAAAGCAAGAAUAUGCAAGAAAUUUGCUGAAGCAGACAAGUGUCUUGUUGAUGGAGCAGAUGAGUAUUUGCAACUUUUGAAUGUUGCAAGCACCACAAUGCAAGCGCUUAGCAACAUGCCACAAGAGAUGGCAUUUUGAAUUUGUAUUCCCUAUCAAUUCUUGGAAAGUCACGUUAAUAGACGGUUAUUGGGUUUAUUGCAAGUCUUUUGAUAUGGAACUUAUCCUAAAGUCUCCUCUCCAAGAGCUCUGGUGAUGACAAAGGAAGCAACUCGUCUGUUGUCUGUUGUGGUGGGGCGGCUUUUUCCUUUCACAUCUCUUAUUAGAUGAGGAUAAGUUUUUACUCAUGAGUCAACAGUAUCCUUGUUGUAGGAGUUCAAUUAAGUUAUGUUUGUUGACUGCCAAUCCUCGCGGCGGAUUUGGAUGGGGCUGUUUAUUGUCAUUGUCAUGCGCGAGGUUAAAGUCUUGACUAGAUGUUUGUUUGACUCUUCAUUACUACUUUUAUUCAAAUCCAGACAUAUCAUACUGCCUUUUCACAA